GUGGGGAAUUUUGGACAAUGGGGGCAACCCUGAUCCAGCCAUUCCGCGUGAGUGAAGAAGGCCUUCGGGUUGUAAAGCUCUUUCAGCAGGAACGAAACGGUGGCUACUAAUACUAGCUACUAAUGACGGUACCUGAAGAAGAAGCACCGGCUAACUACGUGCCAGCAGCCGCGGUAAUACGUAGGGUGCGAGCGUUAAUCGGAAUUACUGGGCGUAAAGCGUGCGCAGGCGGUUCCAUAAGACAGAUGUGAAAUCCCCGGGCUUAACCUGGGAACUGCGUUUGUGACUGUGGGACUGGAGUGUGGCAGAGGGGGGUGGAAUUCCACGUGUAGCAGUGAAAUGCGUAGAGAUGUGGAGGAACACCGAUGGCGAAGGCAGCCCCCUGGGUCAACACUGACGCUCAUGCACGAAAGCGUGGGGAGCAAACAGGAUUAGAUACCCGGGUAGUCC
rnacentral:rRNA from 1 species